CCUGCCUGGAGCUCUGCUUUGCCUCCCUGCAUUUUCCUGCCAGCCCUGCCCUCACCAGGUUUGGUAAACCUCUGAGCAAGUGGUCCAGGAGGAAGGACUUUCCUGAGUGCUGCUCUCCCAGUACAGCAAGCAAACAGACAGAUUUUCCGGCACUCAGGGCAGCAUGGAGGUUCACAGCCUGGGAUGCGAUGUGUGCUGAAGCACCGGAUGCAGAAGUCAUGGCCACAGUCCAGUGAGAUGGGCUCUCGAAGCCUUUCCAGACAGAUGGAGCAGGUCCUGGCCAUCCUAACUGAGAACAACAGAACAGAGGGGAGAGUGCCCCAAGAGCAACCCUCAGGGAAUCCUGGAUCUGCCCAUGCCAGCCAUGCAACCAUGGGCGAGGUCCAAAGAAGAGACUGGGAGUAAGCGCCCUGGCUGGGGUUGGAGGCAGUCAUUCGUGAUGACUACCUCAUCGACAAGGUGCCCAGGGUCAGCACUCAGGAAACCCAUGGAACACCAGCCUUCUUGCUGCGGGUCUUCCUCAAGGGGGAACAGACUAUAACCCCAGCUGCUAGGAUAGUCAGGAAAGGGCGGUAGCUUCUGGCACCCAGGCAGCCAUUCUGCAGCUGAACAGAUGGUCAGGUUCUCAGAGGAUUCCUUGUGCUCUCCGAGCUGAGCAUCUGUAGC